UACGUAGGGUGCAAGCGUUAAUCGGAAUUACUGGGCGUAAAGCGUGCGCAGGCGGUUGUGCAAGACAGAUGUGAAAUCCCCGGGCUCAACCUGGGAAUUGCAUUUGUGACUGCACGGCUAGAGUGUGUCAGAGGGGGGUAGAAUUCCACGUGUAGCAGUGAAAUGCGUAGAGAUGUGGAGGAAUACCGAUGGCGAAGGCCAGCCCCCUGGGAUAACACU
rnacentral:rRNA from 1 species